rnacentral:rRNA from 1 species
AUUGAACGCUGGCGGUAGGCUUAACACAUGCAAGUCGAGCGGAAACGAUGAUAGCUUGCUAUCAGGCGUCGAGCGGCGGACGGGUGAGUAACGCGUAGGAAUCUGCCUGGUAAUGGGGGACAACCUGUGGAAACGCAGGCUAAUACCGCAUAAGCCCUAAGGGGGAAAGUAGGGGAUCUUCGGACCUUACGUUAUCAGAUGAGCCUGCGUAGGAUUAGCUAGUUGGUGAGGUAAUGGCUUACCAAGGCGACGAUCCUUAGCUGGUCUGAGAGGAUGAUCAGCCACACUGGGACUGAGACACGGCCCAG